rnacentral:sRNA from 1 species
GCCGGGCAUGGUGGCGCACACCUGUAAUCCCAGUGGGUGGGAGGCUGAGGCAGGAGGAUAGCCAUUUCAAAGUCAGCCUCAGCAAAAAGCGAGGUGCUAAGCAACUCAGUGAGACCCUAUCUCUA